rnacentral:rRNA from 1 species
CGCUGGCGGCGUGCCUAAUACAUGCAAGUCGAACGCUUUGUGGUUCAACUGAUUUGAAGAGCUUGCUCAGAUAUGACGAUGGACAUUGCAAAGAGUGGCGAACGGGUGAGUAACACGUGGGAAACCUACCUCUUAGCAGGGGAUAACAUUUGGAAACAGAUGCUAAUACCGUAUAACAAUGACAACCGCAUGGUUGUUAUUUAAAAGAUGGUUCUGCUAUCACUAAGAGAUGGUCCCGCGGUGCAUUAGCUAGUUGGUAAGGUAAUGGCUUACCAAGGCGAUGAUGCAUAGCCGAGUUGAGAGACUGAUCGGCCACAAUGGGACUGAGACACGGCCCAUACUCCUACGGGAGGCAGCAGUAGGGAAUCUUCCACAAUGGGCGAAAGCCUGAUGGAGCAACGCCGCGUGUGUGAUGAAGGGUUUCGGCUCGUAAAACACUGUUGUAAGAGAAGAAUGACAUUGAGAGUAACUGUUCAAUGUGUGACGGUAUCUUACCAGAAAGGAACGGCUAAAUACGUGCCAGCAGCCGCGGUAAUACGUAUGUUCCAAGCGUUAUCCGGAUUUAUUGGGCGUAAAGCGAGCGCAGACGGUUAUUUAAGUCUGAAGUGAAAGCCCUCAGCUCAACUGAGGAAUUGCUUUGGAAACUGGAUGACUUGAGUGCAGUAGAGGAAAGUGGAACUCCAUGUGUAGCGGUGAAAUGCGUAGAUAUAUGGAAGAACACCAGUGGCGAAGGCGGCUUUCUGGACUGUAACUGACGUUGAGGCUCGAAAGUGUGGGUAGCAAACAGGAUUAGAUACCCUGGUAGUCCACACCGUAAACGAUGAGUGCUAGGUGUUUGAGGGUUUCCGCCCUUAAGUGCCGCAGCUAACGCAUUAAGCACUCCGCCUGGGGAGUACGACCGCAAGGUUGAAACUCAAAGGAAUUGACGGGGACCCGCACAAGCGGUGGAGCAUGUGGUUUAAUUCGAAGCAACGCGAAGAACCUUACCAGGUCUUGACAUCCCUUGACAACUCCAGAGAUGGAGCGUUCCCUUCGGGGACAAGGUGACAGGUGGUGCAUGGUUGUCGUCAGCUCGUGUCGUGAGAUGUUGGGUUAAGUCCCGCAACGAGCGCAACCCUUAUUACUAGUUGCCAGCAUUCAGUUGGGCACUCUAGUGAGACUGCCGGUGACAAACCGGAGGAAGGUGGGGAUGACGUCAAAUCAUCAUGCCCCUUAUGACCUGGGCUACACACGUGCUACAAUGGCGUAUACAACGAGUUGCCAACCCGCGAGGGUGAGCUAAUCUCUUAAAGUACGUCUCAGUUCGGAUUGUAGGCUGCAACUCGCCUACAUGAAGUCGGAAUCGCUAGUAAUCGCGGAUCAGCACGCCGCGGUGAAUACGUUCCCGGGUCUUGUACACACCGCCCGUCACACCAUGAGAGUUUGUAACACCCAAAGCCGGUGGGGUAACCUUCGGGAGCCAGCCGUCUAAGGUGGGACAGAUGAUU